UUUGUAGUUGGCUUACAAUUA
ensembl:piRNA 21ur-12692 ncRNA